GCAGUCCGAGCGGACAGAAGGGAGCUUGCUUCCCGGAUGUUAGCGGCGGACGGGUGAGUAACACGUGGGUAACCUGCCUGUAAGACUGGGAUAACUCCGGGAAACCGGAGCUAAUACCGGAUAGUUCCUUGAACCGCAUGGUUCAAGGAUGAAAGACGGUUUCGGCUGUCACUUACAGAUGGACCCGCGGCGCAUUAGCUAGUUGGUGAGGUAACGGCUCACCAAGGCGACGAUGCGUAGCCGACCUGAGAGGGUGAUCGGCCACACUGGGACUGAGACACGGCCCAGACUCCUACGGGAGGCAGCAGUAGGGAAUCUUCCGCAAUGGACGAAAGUCUGACGGAGCAACGCCGCGUGAGUGAUGAAGGUUUUCGGAUCGUAAAGCUCUGUUGUUAGGGAAGAACAAGUGCAAGAGUAACUGCUUGCACCUUGACGGUACCUAACCAGAAAGCCACGGCUAACUACGUGCCAGCAGCCGCGGUAAUACGUAGGUGGCAAGCGUUGUCCGGAAUUAUUGGGCGUAAAGGGCUCGCAGGCGGUUUCUUAAGUCUGAUGUGAAAGCCCCCGGCUCAACCGGGGAGGGUCAUUGGAAACUGGGAAACUUGAGUGCAGAAGAAGAGAGUGGAAUUCCACGUGUAGCGGUGAAAUGCGUAGAGAUGUGGAGGAACA
rnacentral:rRNA from 1 species